rnacentral:rRNA from 1 species
AUGCUUCUCCUAAAGACUAAGCCAUGCAUGCCUUCGAAUUAGAAGUGUCCAAUCUGAAUCUGCGAACGGCUCCGCAUACCAGUUGUAAACCAUAGCGAGCCAGGUCGGGAUGAGCGCUUCACGGCGUUGUACCCGGUCUGGAUACGGAUAGCCCUGGUAAUUCUGAGGCUAAUACGAGUAGUUACCACCUGGUCGACCGGGCAACUGGAAGGCUGGGGGUCGUGUAAAGCUUAACCGCUGCACACAUCGGGCGAUUCCGUACACGAUCAGACCGCCAUACAAACGUGCUAGGGCCAAGUAGUACCUUCGGGGAACCGCGGUUCUAGUGCGGGCGGCUCUCGCUCGUGCUUCUGACCUAUCAACUAGAAAGCAGUGCACAGGUCAUGCUAUGGUCACAACGGGUACAGAGGAUAAGGGUUCGAUCCUGGAGAGUGGGCCUGAGAGAUUGCUCACACUUCUAAGGAAGGCAGCAGGCGCGUAACGUUCCCAAUGGGUAACACCUGAGGGCGUUAGGGGACAUAUGAAUAUCUGCCUUUUGGUGGGUAAUUCAAAUGGGUCAGUUCUAAACAGCCCAG